ACGAAGAAAAACAUAUUAACUGGGCAUUUGUUACCUAAGAAUGUUAUAAAUAAACACAAAUGUUAACAGGUUUCUUUAUUAAAGCCCUGAAAACAAGGCUAAACUUGUUUUUUUAUGGUAAUUUGUAAAUCAAAUAUAUUCCAGGAAACUUCUUAAUCCUGUUUAGUUGUGUUCACACUAAUGUUAGCACAGAAGAAAAUGAAUACAGUAGUGCCAACACAGCAAGAGUCUGGGGAAGUCGUCUUUACCAUGGGAACUGUUGAUGGCUGAGUUUACGGAUUUUGCUGAAAAGCUCACCUUGUCGCUGAGAUCCAUGCUUGUGGCUGAGUAGGCUAUUUGAGGAAUAUUAAAAAGCUGGAGGAGAUUUUGCACUUGGAUGGCGACAGAGCUUGAUCCGGGUCCAAUUAGUCCAACAAUGGGUUUCUUGCCCUGAAGAAGAACACUCCCUCCUUCAGUGGAGCAUCUGCCUUGGCUCUCUUCAUCAUCGCUGGAGACCAGUGUGUCACGGAUAAACUCAAUGCUCUGCUCCAGUGCUACUGCAGAGUGCCAGCAUGAGUCCCUGUAUUUACCUUCUCCUUCAAAGAAAUUUGCUGCAAAAGAAGAACAAUGUGACACGUUUCCUGAUGGUUUGCUGACCUGAUCUCACAGCCCAGGGUGAUGUUGGGAAGGAUUGUGGAAUCUGCAUUAAUCCGAUCCAGAGUGUGCAUCAUGGCCUCUACUCUCUGAAUCCCAUACUGCUCACGCACAGCUCCACAUUUUCUCUCAUGUACCUUGUCAGCAGGUGGUUGAUGGUGGACAGAGAACAAAGCUCCGAUGAUUAUGUCACCGGGGAUGUGUGCCAAAACUCUUCUCUCAUU